GAUGAACGCUGGCGGCGUGCUUAACACAUGCAAGUCGAACGGAAAGGCCCAAGCUUGCUUGGGUACUCGAGUGGCGAACGGGUGAGUAACACGUGGGUGAUCUGCCCUGCACUUCGGGAUAAGCCUGGGAAACUGGGUCUAAUACCGGAUAGGACGAUGGUUUGGAUGCCAUUGUGGAAAGUUUUUUCGGUGUGGGAUGAGCUCGCGGCCUAACAGCUUGUUGGUGGGGUAAUGGCCUACCAAGGCGUCGACGGGUAGCCGGCCUGAGAGGGUGUACGGCCACAUUGGGACUGAGAUACGGCCCAGACUCCUACGGGAGGCAGCAGUGGGGAAUAUUGCACAAUGGGCGCAAGCCUGAUGCAGCGACGCCGCGUGGGGGAUGACGGCCUUCGGGUUGUAAACUCCUUUCGCUAGGGACGAAGCGUUUUGUGACGGUACCUGGAGAAGAAGCACCGGCUAACUACGUG
rnacentral:rRNA from 1 species